rnacentral:rRNA from 1 species
CAAUAGCGUAUAUUAAAGUUGUUGCAGUUAAAAAGCUCGUAGUUGGAUUUCUGGCCGAGUGUCCCUAGGCCAGCAUGACGUUUGGUCCUAGGCGCUCUGCCAUCCUUCUGUCAACCUUCGCCUUCUUCAUUGGGGGCGCUGGGGCUCAGAUAUUUUACCUUGAGAAAAUUAGAGUGUUUCAGGCAGGCUUUCGCCGGAAUACAUUAGCAUGGAAUAAUGGAAAAGGACUUCAACCUCUUCUGUUGGUCUGAGAGGCUGUAGUAAUGAUUAAUAGGGAUAGUUGGGGGCAUUAGUACUUAACUGUCAGAGGUGAAAGUCUUCCGACUUGUUUAAGUAAACGUAACCUUAACUUAGUCGGAAACGGAACGACUUUAGUUUCCGAACCGGAAAGGUAGUUUUUCGUUUACUUAAAUUUAACUAACGAAAACGGAAAAACGGUUAAAAGGGGGUUAAGGGUACUAAACGAAAACGGAAC